rnacentral:rRNA from 1 species
GAGAAGCGAAGCGGUGACGUGGAGCAAAUCUCAAAAAAACAUCUCAGUUCAGACUGCAGGCUGCAACUCGCCUGCACGAAGUCGGAAUUGCUAGUAAUCGUAGGUCAGCAUACUACGGUGAAUACGUUCCCGGGCCUUGUACACACCGCCCGUCAAACCAUGAGAGUUGGCAACACCCGAAGUCGGUAGUCUAACCGCAAGGAGGACGCCGCCGAAGGUGGGGUUGAUGAUUAGGGUUAAGUCGUAACAAGGUAAC